ensembl:lncRNA
AUGGGCCAGCUAUUGAGCUGGAUCCGAGGCCCACGGGACGCCCCGGCCCUGCAGGAUGCGUCUGUGGAGGAGCAGUCGCAGCCGAGUCAGGCAACACCCAAACCGGCACCUCAGGUCUCUGCUGGGAAGCCUGCGCAGUUCGAGAAGGCAUCAUCAGGAUCUGCCAUGGCUGCAAAGCCUGGGAUGGUUGCCACAGCAACAGGCGAUGCUACAGGAAGUGGGCCGGCAGCAGGGAAACAGACGGCUAAAGCUAAACCAGAGGUAGAUUAUUCCUGGAAGUCUGAGCAAAACUCUGGAUGCUUUUGGCACUUUGGUGUAACACGGCUUCUUUCUCAUGGGUUCAAACCUUCAGUGUGCUCAUCAUGGGAGAACUUGAACCUCCGUCUUUUCUGACUAAACUGCAUUUGUUAAACCUCUUCUUCGUUUCGUGUGAUGCUUCUAGUAAUGUCACUCUUGUUGGCAUUAUUUUGUUCAUUGGAUGCAAAACUUCUGCUUCAUCCCUUGAAAGCUCUUUCAUCAUGAGGCUUGUGAGGAAUCCCAUGCUGUCUUCUAAAAUUCGUGAACUUUUUUCAAACACAUUCUUCUUCUCCAAAGACUAACACUACACAGGUCGGUGCUACUCUUACUGACAUGCUAUCAUCAAAUGUUGGUCUUAAAGAUGCUGUCAUGACCUGAAAAAAUGGAAAAGCUUUUUAAAAAUUCAAUAAUGGACCAAAAGCUGGAAAACACCAAUACUGAAACGUUUGUUGUUUGUUGUUUGUUGGUGAAAUCUCUGUCUGGAUUCCAACACAAAUGAGAAAAAAAAGAGUUUUAGUUUAGCCUGAUCUGCCCAGGCUAAACUGGUUACUUUUACCUUUCUUGAUUUUGAGUCCCACAACUCUCCCACAACUCUCUUCUACUUUCUUUACAGUUCCUGUGAAUCCUUUUUAUGCUUGUGUCCAUGAAUAAUCGUUUGACUGCGUGUUUGUAGACUGCAACCCAAGUCAAGGGCAAGACUACAGUUCCUUCUCCUGCAGCUGGAUCAGCAGCUGUCUCUGGUACAGCAGCAGCAGCAUCCUCUACAAAACCUAAAGAGUCACUCAAAGACUCAGCCAAGGUAGACUUGACUUCUGCAAGCCUUUUCUGAGCAACGGCUCUCUUGGUAUUUCUUUGGUGUCUUCCAUUUCUGUUUCUCUUCUCUGACUUUUGUCGUUUGAAUUUUUCAAAGACGCAUUGAUACUUGCUUUGCGAGCUCAGUGGCCUUAUGGUAGAGUGUCCGCCCUGAGACUGGAACGUCAUGAGAUCAAAUCCACGGCUGAGUCAUACCAAAGACUCUAGAUAUUGGACCCAAAGCCUUCCUGAGCAUUAACUCCACAUUACAGGGUUGGAAUGGGGAUUUAAACCAACAAAUGGUUCACGAGUGGAGUUGUGUCUGCAGCUCAGUGCUCUUCCAGGGGACGGGUCAAAUGAGAACAAAUUUCACAUAUUUAAUGGGCCUUUGGACAAUCUUUCAGGAGCCUUUAUGAAGCAACUCUCUGCUUUGGCAUACGGUACAUAGUGCAUUUCUACUUUCAGGGGAUUUAAAGUAACUUUUUUUCCCCUGCGCAUCUCUCAUCUCAAACCUGAGUCUGGGACAGGCUUCCUGGCUGAUCGUUUGUUUCUCAAUUUAGUGAACGUUAGGCUGCUGAAGUGUUUUUCUCUGGUGAAAAUGAUUCUUUCUGUGCUGUAUUCUAUUAUGUUGUUGUGAUUGUACAUUAUUAUUUAGUAAAAUCUUUGCCCUGUGACUAUAACUCUGUUGUCAUAAAUGUUUUUUUUGGUUGCAAUAAAAAAACACUAUAUCUUACAGCAGGCAAGAGCAACCUGCAAGUAUUGAGAUGUUUGGCUAAGAAGCAGCUCAUUAACACUUCUUUUUUUCCACAAUUGUAAACUGGAUAAACCGGUGCUCAAACAUGUUUUUUUCAAGUUUCAAAUCCUGUCAGAAAAGAAGACUACACCAAAGAUGCACAAAAAGGUGUAAAAUACAAAAGGGGAAAGGUUCAAAGGCUAGCUUUCGGAUUCUGUAUGCAUCAGUUCACUAAUUGGCAAAGGUUUUUUCAGCACAAAUCCCUUGCAUGUUCUACAGAAAGACAAAGAUGAACCACUGUUGUUUUUACCAAUGCAAAAUGCAAUGCAAUGCAAUUAAAAAAUCAAACAUACAAAAAACCCAUAACAAAAAUGAUCAUGUAAGUGGAAAUACCUUACACUAACCUCCAAGCAUGGUGGUGGAGGUAUUGUUGUUGGACUGAUUUAAACCUAAAUUCAGCCGAAUCCUCCUCUUGUCUUGCUGGACAGGUCAAAGUCAGUUGCAGCUACUCUGUCUGUGGUUUGAAACAUGUCUGAAUAUUCUGGUACAUCCAUGGAAGCUGCUGGUUGAUGACAUGUCAUCUGUGAUUUCAUUGAAAUCUUCAGAAAAGAGUAAAUUUUUCUCAAGUGAUUCCUUCAGGGAUUAUAAGCAUUGCCAAAUGCUUUAAUGCAAAUACAUUUUUCCAUUAAAACACAAUUUUACUUUUUAGAAAAUAUUGCCUGUUAGCUAAACAAAUUGAAACCAAAAACGUUUUAUUUUUAGUUAAAUGUUAAUCAAAUUCCAAUCGUUCACACAUUAUUUGCAGCUAAUCGUGGAUGUGUCUUGCAGGUUCAGGUGGAAGUUUCUUCUGCAGCACCAGUAGCCAAACAGGUACAGAUACUCAGUAGAAUUCAGCUGGUUUGAGUUUAGAACUAUGUUGUUUUCUGUCCUUCAUUGUAUUGAUGUUGUUGUGCUGGCAGGCUCCUGGCACAGAUCCCUUAGACGCCUUGGCCAGCAGCCUGCCUACAUCUGACCCUGUUGCCCCCUCACAGCCGUCUUUCACUGGGCCACAGGUCAAAGAGGUAACUGGGCAGCCCUUGCUUGUGUUUGUUUGUGGCAGUUUAUGCAGAAAGAUAUUGGGAUGCUGCAUGGAUCUGGUGUGUUUAAUGUGUGCUGCAUGUGCCUCAGCAUGACAUCACAGCUGAAAAAGGUCAGAGGUGUGGAGACAGAGAGUCCACGCUGCCUCCAGGCUACAGAUCUGAAAAUGUGGUCAGUUUGUCACACUCUCUGUUUCCUUUUUCUUGCUGCCCUUCUGUGUUCGUGUCAUUUUGACCUGGGUGGCAAAAAGGUUUGAAGAGAAUUCUGUUCCUCUUGGAACAAAGAUAAAGUAAAUAAAGUGUAAUUUAAGUGUAGACCCAAGUACCAUUUGCUAAACAAACGGCUAUAAAAUUUUAAUA